AUGGAGAUAUACCUGCCCAGUGACAAUUGUUCAACGGCCGCGGUAUCCUAACCGUGCAAAGGUAGCAUAAUCACUUGCCUAUUAAUUGUAGGCUAGAAUGAAGGGGUUAACGAAAUAAAAGCUGUCUCAAUUAAUAAUCUAAAAAUUAUUCUCUGCCUGAAGUAAGGCAGAUACCCUCGAAGGACAAGAAGACCCUAUAGAGCUUUAUUUUACAUAUAGAAUAUAACUAUACUAAUAUUCGGUUGGGGCGACCACGGGAUAACAAUCACCCGAGAUAUAAAAGAUUUAUAAAUCAAAUAAUUGACCCUUAAAAGAUCAUAAGAUCAAGCUACCUUAGGGAUAACAGGCUAAUCCCACUUAAGAGUCCUUAUCAAUAGUGGGGUUUGGCACCUCGAUGUUGGCUUAGGAUAUCUAUAUAGCGCAAAAGUUAUAUAAAGAUGGUUUGUUCAACCAAUAACAUCCUACGU
rnacentral:rRNA from 1 species